GAUGAACGCUGGCGGCGUGCCUAAUACAUGCAAGUCGAGCGAACAGAUAAGGAGCUUGCUCCUUUGACGUUAGCGGCGGACGGGUGAGUAACACGUGGGUAACCUACCUAUAAGACUGGGAUAACUUCGGGAAACCGGAGCUAAUACCGGAUAAUAUUUCGAACCGCAUGGUUCGAUAGUGAAAGAUGGUUUUGCUAUCACUUAUAGAUGGACCCGCGCCGUAUUAGCUAGUUGGGAAGGUAACGGCUUACCAAGGCGACGAUACGUAGCCGACCUGAGAGGGUGAUCGGCCACACUGGAACUGAGACACGGUCCAGACUCCUACGGGAGGCAGCAGUAGGGAAUCUUCCGCAAUGGGCGAAAGCCUGACGGAGCAACGCCGCGUGAGUGAUGAAGGUCUUCGGAUCGUAAAACUCUGUUAUUAGGGAAGAACAUACGUGUAAGUAACUGUGCACGUCUUGACGGUACCUAAUCAGAAAGCCACGGCUAACUACGUG
rnacentral:rRNA from 1 species